GGUUUGGUGCUAAGGGAGAACAAAGUUAUGAUGUUGAGGUUUUUCCAUGCAAAAAUAUGUUGUAAGGGUGUGGUGAUAAUCAUAUGCAUUAAUAUUGGGUUUUAUUGAGGUAUAACAUGUCAAUGAUUGGAUUUGGAUGAUUCAAGUAAUGUAUUAUAUGUGUUUGAGUAUGUUUACAUGGGUAUGUGAUGCUUGAAUGCUUGAAUGCAUGUAU
rnacentral:lncRNA from 1 species